GCCGAAUUAGUAUAAUGGUUAGUAUUCCUGCCUGUCACGCAGGAGAUCUGGGUUCGAUUCCCUGGUUCGGCG